UACGAAGGGGGCUCGCGUUGCUCGGAAUCACUGUGCGUAAAGGGUGCGUAGGCGGGGCUUUAAGUCAGGGGUGAAAUCCUGGAGCUCAACUCCAGAACUGCCUUUGAUACUGAAGAUCUUGAGUUCGGGAGAGGUGAGUGGAACUGCGAGUGUAGAGGUGAAAUUCGUAGAUAUUCGCAAGAACACCAGUGGCGAAGGCGGCUCACUGGCCCGGUACUGACGCUGAGGCACGAAAGCGUGGGGAGCAAACAGG
rnacentral:rRNA from 1 species